rnacentral:rRNA from 1 species
AGCGAACGCUGGCGGCAGGCCUAACACAUGCAAGUCGAGCGCCCCGCAAGGGGAGCGGCAGACGGGAGAGUAACACGUGGGAACGUACCCUUCAGUUCGGAACAACCAAGGGAAACUUUGGCUAAUACCGAAUACGUCCGUAAGGAGAAAGAUUUAUCGGUGAAGGAUCGGCCCGCGUCUGAUUAGCUAGUUGGUGGGGUAAUGGCCCACCAAGGCGACGAUCAGUAGCUGGUCUGAGAGGAUGAUCAGCCUCACUGGGACUGAGACACGGCCCAGACUCCUACGGGAGGCAGCAGUGGGGAAUAUUGGACAAUGGGCGCAAGCCUGAUCCAGCCAUGCCGCGUGGAUGGUGAAGGCCCUAGGGUUGUAAAGUCCUUUCGGGGGGGAAGAUAAUGACGGUACCCGCAGAAGAAGCCCCGGCUAACUUCGUGCCAGCAGCCGCCGUAAUAC